AUUGAACGCUGGCGGCAUGCUUUACACAUGCAAGUCGAACGGUAACAGGUUAAGCUGACGAGUGGCGAACGGGUGAGUAAUGCAUCGGAACGUGCCCGAUCGUGGGGGAUAACGCAGCGAAAGCUGCGCUAAUACCGCAUACGAUCUGAGGAUGAAAGCGGGGGCCCGUAAGGCCUCGCGCGAUCGGAGCGGCUGAUGUCAGAUUAGGUAGUUGGUGGGGUAGAGGCCCACCAAGCCGACGAUCUGUAGCAGGUCGGAGAGGACGACCAGCCACACUGGGACUGAGACACGGCCCAGACUCCUACGGGAGGCAGCAGUGGGGAAUUUUGGACAAUGGGCGCAAGCCUGAUCCAGCAAUGCCGCGUGCAGGAUGAAGGCCUUCGGGUUGUAAACUGCUUUUGUACGGAACGAAACGGCCCUUUCUAAUACAGGGGGCUAAUGACGGUACCGUAAGAAUAAGCACCGGCUAACUACGUGCCAGCAGCCGCGGUAA
rnacentral:rRNA from 1 species